rnacentral:misc_RNA from 1 species
UUUUUAAAAGAAAAGCUCAUAUUAAUUACUUACCAAUUGAGUAAAUUACAAAAGCAACCAUUUGGCUUCAUAAAAUGCUUAUAUAUUACAAAGCAUGUCCUUGCUUUUAUGUUAUUUUUCUUAGUUUUGCAUAUAAUAAGAUAGAUACUUGUAUUGAUAUAAAUAAGCAACAUAGUGUCAAUAAGCUAAUAUCAAGGAGCGUAGCCACCUCCAUGGCCACUACCUACACCACUCCCCCCACCUGCUUCAUAUCCUCCUCCAUGCUUACCUCCUGCAUCAUAGCCACUGCCACCACCACCUCCAGAAC